rnacentral:rRNA from 1 species
UGGGGAAUAUUGCACAAUGGGCGCAAGCCUGAUGCAGCAACGCCGCGUGAACGAUGAAGGUCUUCGGAUCGUAAAGUUCUGUUGCAGGGGAAGAUAAUGACGGUACCCUGUGAGGAAGCCCCGGCUAACUACGUGCCAGCAGCCGCGGUAAUACGUAGGGGGCUAGCGUUAUCCGGAUUUACUGGGCGUAAAGGGUGCGUAGGUGGUCUUUCAAGUCGGUGGGUAAAGGCUACGGCUCAACCGUAGUUAGCCUCCGAAACUGGAAGACUUGAGUGCAGGAGAAGAAAGUGGAAUUCCCAGUGUAGCGGUGAAAUGCGUAGAUAUUGGGAGGAACACCAGUAGCGAAGGCGGCUUUCUGGACUGCAACUGACACGGAGGCACGAAAGCGUGGGUAGCAAACAGG